GAUGAACGCUGGCGGCGUGCCUAAUACAUGCAAGUCGAGCGAAUGGAUUAAGAGCUUGCUCUUAUGAAGUUAGCGGCGGACGGGUGAGUAACACGUGGGUAACCUGCCCAUAAGACUGGGAUAACUCCGGGAAACCGGGGCUAAUACCGGAUAACAUUUUGAACCGCAUGGUUCGAAAUUGAAUGGCGGCUUCGGCUGUCACUUAUGGAUGGACCCGCGUCGCAUUAGCUAGUUGGUGAGGUAACGGCUCACCAAGGCAACGAUGCGUAGCCGACCUGAGAGGGUGAUGGGCCACACUGGGACGGAGACACGGCCCAGACUCCUCCGGGAGGAAGCAGUAGGGAAUUUUCCGAAAUGGACGAAAGUCUGACGGAGCAACGCCGCGUGGGUGAUGAAGGCUUUCGGGUCGUAAAACUUUGUUGUUAGGGAAGAACAAGUGCUAGUUGAAUAAGCUGGCACCUUGACGGUACCUAACCAGAAAGCCACGGCUAACUACGUGCCAGCCGCCGGGGUAA
rnacentral:rRNA from 1 species